UAACGCAUCCUGCGUUUUAUGCGGAUACCACCGCGUAGUGGCUAGAACCCACAUCGGACUUCUUUAAGGAGAAAACAAAUG
rnacentral:ncRNA from 1 species